rnacentral:rRNA from 1 species
GGGCUUGACAUCCCACGAACCUGCCCGAAAGGGUAGGGUGCCCGCAAGGGAGCGUGGAGACAGGUGGUACAUGGCUGUCGUCAGCUCGUGUCGUGAGAUGUUGGGUUAAGUCCCGCAACGAGCGCAACCCUCACCCCUAGUUGCCACCGGGUAAUGCCGAGCACUCGAGGGGAACUGCCAGCGUCAAGCUGGAGGAAGGCGGGGAUGACGUCAAGUCAUCAUGCCCCUUACGCCCUGGGCUACACACGUGCUACAAUGGCCAGUACAAAGGGAUGCGAGACCGUAAGGUGGAGCUAAUCCCAAAAAGCUGGUCUAAGUUCAGAUCGCAGUCUGCAACUCGACUGCAUGAAGGAGGAAUCGCUAGUAAUCGCGCAUCAGCACGGCGCGGUGAAUACGUUCCCGGGCCUUGUACACACCGCCCGUCACACCACGAAAGCUGGCUGUACUCGAAGUCGCUGAGAA